rnacentral:tRNA from 1 species
GCCUGGGUGGCUCAGUCGGUUGAGCAUCUGACUUCGGCUCAGGUCAUGAUCUCGCAGUCUGUGAGUUCGAGCCCCACGUCAGGCU